CCCUUAGAUGUUCUGGGCCGCACGCGCGUUACACUGAUGCAUUCAACGAGUUCUUUCCUUGGCCGAGAGGCCUGGGCAAUCUUUUGAACGUGCAUCGUGAUAGGGAUAGAUUAUUGCAAUUAUUAAUCUUGAACGAGGAAUUCCUAGUAAACGCAGUUCAUCAAACUGCAUUGAUUACGUCCCUGCCCUUUGUACACACCGCCCGUCGCACCUACCGAUUGAAUGGUCCGGUGAAAUCUCGGGACGGCGGCUUGGUCGCUUGCGUCCGACUGCUGAAACUUGAUUAAACCAUAUCAUUUAGAGGAAGGUGAAGUCGUAACA
rnacentral:rRNA from 1 species